rnacentral:tRNA from 1 species
GGGGGAUUGGCGCAAUGGUAGCGCGUGGCUCUCCUAUUUUCCCCAUUGAACUUGAUCAGUUCCCAUUCCAUGGGAGAAGUUCUUGAGGUAAGAAUAAAAGCCAAGGUUGUGGGUUCGAGUCCCAUGUUCCUCG